rnacentral:tRNA from 1 species
CCCCCGAUAGCUCAGUUGGAAGAGCGCGAGACUGUAAUGGAUAACGAACUGAUCAUCUUGAGGUCGCUGGUUCGAUCCCGGCUCGGGGGA